CCCGGAACUGCUGGAAUUUCUGCGACAUCAGUAGCUGAGCACUGCCGACUGCACUGAGAACCUUUCCUAUUACUGUGAGCAAAAAAGAAGGAUUAGAAUGAGAACAGUUGGAGGACUGGCACUGUUUGGGAGCUCUCUCCAGCUGAUCUUCUCACGCUCUUACCAUUUAUUUAUUUUGGAGAUUCGUCAACUCAAAUGGGGCAAUGUUGAAAUCCCACUCAGAAAUGCCCAAUUCUUCCUGAUGUGCUCUGCCAUGCCACACUGUCAGAAAAAAUGUGCAAAAAUUGUACCUUUAGGGGUACAACAACUUGUCACUGGGGCAGUACCCUCAAAGGUACACCCACUGUACCCUUUAACAUGAGUACGAAUUGGUUCCCCUUGCAGAUUGUACCUUUCAAAGGCAAAUAUGUACUUUUGGCGACUAGAUUGGACCUCAGUGCCAUGGUACCUUAAAAAAAUGGUGCAAAUUUGGCCUUUUAAGGGUACUGCCCCAGUGACAAGCCCUUUGUACCACAUGAUAACAAAUUUGUACUCAACACAGCAUAUUGAAAUGCUGUUCUAUCAAAUUUAUUAUAUAACAUUGAAAUAUGCAUUCAUUUAAUGUGUACUUUUUCAGACAGUAUUACAAAAGCUACGCUGCAGUUUUUUUAAGUUUGGUUAGUGUAGUCAAACAGCAAGUCCUAAGACUGCUACAGGAAUUCCUCAAAGAACCAAGAUAAACAACCAGUUCCAAAAAGAGCCACUGAAAAUGUUUUCUUUCAGUUUGUACUAGACUCUAGCAACACCCCAUUCAACUUAGGGUGACAUGCCACAUAAAACAUAAAUAUAUAGAAAACAACAUAAUAAUAAAAAUGUAACUCUAACAAAAGGAAGAAGGAUUUAGGGGAGGGAUAAACAAUAAAACUUACAACCAUACAUUGAAUUCUCACUCUAUGCAAAAUAUAUGCAAAUUGGUCUAUUUCCCCAGUACACAUUUUGGUGAUGAACCUUCUACCAAUAGAUGGAGCUGUGCUACACAUGUCAAGAAACUUUCAACCAAUAGAUGGCGCUAUGGCAUGUUACACAAUGUCCAUGUAUGUUACUGGGGAAUGGUUACAAUUUUAUUUAAUUUUUUUAAAACAGGUUCUUAAACAGCUCUUGUUUAUUUUAUAGAUUUUGAAACAAAAAAUGUUCUCUGUAAUUUUAGUUAAUACAUUUGCUUUAAUACAUUUGAGUUAUCAUCUUGAUGCUUGAUGCUCUAAAUAUAAACAUUACAACGUUAA